ACAUUUCGCCGUGGCUUCGUGCUUGGAGAUGAGGCGUGCAAAGAAACGUAGAGAGGAGAAACGCUGGACGUCGCUGAGCUGAUGCAAUUGUUUCCCACAGGGCUCAGUUUGUCCAUCGCUCUUGUAUGAGGAGCCGGAAGAUAGCGGCGUAGUGCCCCCGCAGCCUGCGCUAGGAGAGAACACGGAAGAGCACAGAGCCGUGGACGUCGAGGGGAGGCGGCAGACCGGACGCACGACUCAAUUGCGGAUCUGCGGAAGGGCGGCGCCCCGGCCCACACCGUCGAAGCCGGCGGGCAGCGAGAGCGCACCGUGAACGCAGCUUGUCCCGUGAGGAGGACUGCAGGCCGACAACCUGUCGUGGCGCCGCCGGCCGCCACGAUCCGAUCUGAUCUGAGAUUUCGAUCGAGG
rnacentral:rRNA from 1 species